rnacentral:lncRNA from 1 species
GGCGAUUUAACUUUUAUAUAUAUAUGGAUUUUUUUUUAUUUUUUAUUUUGGUUUGCUUUGUAAAGAUUUUUGGCAUAGUGCAAUUGUGCAAAAGUGUCGGCCGGAUUUGUUAAAUUUAAUUUUAACUACCCAAGUAAAGUAACGCAAUCUAUACCAAUAUAAUAUUCUAAUAGAAUUUUGCAAAAGCAACACAUACUAACUAGUAAAGUGACUACCCUCGUAUUUGAAAGUCUACAACAAAUAACACCCAGACAAAAUAAAAUGCCACAAAAAUAAAAAAUAAAUAAAAAUCACAAAAAUAAAAAAAGUAGUAUAAAAUUGUUGAAAAUUUAACUUUUUAAUAAAUAACGGAUUUAAUCUAGUAGCUCCA